CAGCCGCCGCGGUAAUACGUAGGGUGCAAGCGUUAAUCGGAAUUACUGGGCGUAAAGCGUGCGUAGGCGGUUUGUUAAGUCUGUUGUGAAAUACCCGGGCUCAACCUGGGAAUGGCAAUGGAUACUGGCAAGCUAGAGUGUGUCAGAGGAUGGUGGAAUUCCCGGUGUAGCGGUGAAAUGCGUAGAGAUCGGGAGGAACAUCAGUGGCGAAGGCGGCCAUCUGGGACAACACUGACGCUGAGGCACGAAAGCGUGGGGAGCAAACAGGAUUAGAUACCCGAGUAGUCCCUGUCUCUUAUAC
rnacentral:rRNA from 1 species